AACGAACGCUGGCGGCAUGCCUAACACAUGCAAGUCGAACGAGACCUUCGGGUCCAGUGGCGCACGGGUGCGUAACGCGUGAGAACCUGCCUUAAGGGUCGGAAUAACUCCCCGAUAGGGUUGCUAAUACCGUAUAAUGUCUUCGGACCAAAGAUUUAUCGGCUCUGGCUGAGCCGGCGUUGGGUCAGCUAGUUGGUAGGGUAGAAGCCUACCACGGCGACGAUCCAUAGCUGGUCGGAGAGGAUGCUCAGCCACGCUGGGACUGAGACACGGCCCAGACUCCUACGGGAGGCAGCGGUGGGGAAUAUUGGACAAUGGGCGAAAGCCUGAUCCAGCAAUGCCGCGUGAGUGAUGAAGGCCUUAGGGUUGUAGAGCUCUUUUGCCCGGGAUGAUAUUGACAGUACCGGGAGAAUAAGCGCCGGCUAACUCCGUG
rnacentral:rRNA from 1 species